CCUACGGGGGGCAGCAGUGGGGGAUAUUGCACAAUGGGGGGAACCCUGAUGCAGCGACGCCGCGUGGGUGAAGGAGCGUUUCGGCGCGUAAAGCCCUAUCGGCAGGGGAGAAGAUGACGGUACCUGACCAAGACGCCCCGUCUAACUACGUGACAGCAUCCGCGGUUAUACGGCGGGGGCCGGCGUUAUCCGGAGUUACUGGGUGUUAAGGGGGCGCAGUCGGCAAGGCAAGACAGGAGUGAAAGCCCGGGGCCCAACCCCGGGACUGCUGUUGUAACUGCAUGGCUGGAGUACAGGGGGGGCAGGCGGAAUUCGUAGUGUAGCGGUGAAAUGCGUAGAUAUUAGGAGGAACACCGGUGGCGAAGGCGGCCUGCUGGAGUGGGACUGACGUUGAGGCCCGAAGGCGUGGGGAGCGAACAGGAUUAGAUACCCGGGUAGUC
rnacentral:rRNA from 1 species